GUGGGCGUAGCUCAGUUGGCAGAGCACCGGGUUGUGGCCCCGGCGGUCGCGGGUUCAAGUCCCGUCGUUCACCCCA
rnacentral:tRNA from 4 species